GAUGAACGCUGGCGGCGUGCCUAAUACAUGCAAGUCGAGCGAAGCGGGGACGGGUGAGUAACACGUGGAUAACCUCCUAUAAGACUGGGAUCACUUGGGGAAACCGGAGCUAAACCGGCAACUUAUAGAAGGAUUUGCGCGGCAUUAGCUGGUUGGUAAGGUAACGGCUUACCAAGGCAACGAUGCAUAGCCGACCUGAGAGGUAGAUCGGCCACACUUGGAAUGGGACAGGGUCCAGACUCCUACGGGAGGCAGCAUUAGGGCAUAUUUCGCAACGGGCGACGGCCGGACGGAGCAACGCCGCGUGAGUGAUGAAGGUCUUCGGGGUGUAAAACUCUGUUAUUAGGGAAUCGGUACCUGAUCACAUAGCCGCGGCUAACUACGCGCCAGCAGCCGCUGUAAUUC
rnacentral:rRNA from 1 species